rnacentral:rRNA from 1 species
AACAGCCCAUCGCCCAAUCCGCCGCCAGCAUGGCGGACCGGAAAUUUGGCGUAUAGGAGAGACCCUUCCGAGUUCCGACUCCGGUGCAAGUCCCCCUGACUGGGGCUCUUACCCCGAGAGGGUGCAAGGCCCGUAGCUGCCGGAAGGCGGUACUCGGAUGUCCUCUCCUGGGAGUCGGGUUGCUUGAGAGUGCAGCCCUAAUCAGGUGGUAAACUCCAUCUAAGGCUAAAUACGACCUGGAGACCGAUAGCGAACAAGUACCGUGAGGGAAAGUUGAAAAGGACUUUGAAGAGAGAGUUCAAGAGUACGUGAAACCGUUCGGAGGUAAACGAGUGGGCCCUCGAAUUGAGAAGGCGGGGGGACUCAGCCGAACGCCGUUGCCUCCCGUUGCGUCCGCGCUUCCCUCCCGGGACGCGGCGUGGCGGAUGUUGGCGGCGGCGGACGGCGCAUUUCUUCCCGUCCUCCGACGCUGCGACCGGUCGGGCGCGCCACGAGCAGUCGGCCUUACACGCGGGAGCUGGCAGGUAGCCGGGACAGUGCAUCCGCGCUGUCUCCGGUGUUUAGCCGUCCCGUUUUCGUGCAGCCGUUCGCCCGACCGCAGGACUCGGCUCUUAGGGGCCUGGCCGUGCCCUCCCCCUGGCGGGGAUCGUUUUUCGGCCCGGAAGGGAGGCCGUCGUCUCUUCCCCGUUUCACCCUAGCGUGGGCGGGGAGCGGCGGCGCCCGUUCGCCGGGUCGUUUACGAGCGGGUGCNNNNNNNNNNNNNNNNNNNNNNNNNNNNNNNNNNNNNNNNNNNNNNNNNNACGGACCAAGGAGUUUAACAUGCACGCGAGUCAUUGGGUCGUGAAUAGGCCCAAAGGCGCAAUGAAAGUGAAGGGCGGCUCUCCGUCGUCCGCGUUGGGAUCCGGCGCCCUCGGGCGUCGGCGCACCAACGGCUCGUCCGUGCCGCCACGUCGGCCGGGCGAAGCUAGAGCGUGCACGUUGAGACCCGAAAGAUGGUGAACUAUGGCUGGGCAGGACGAAGCCAGAGGAAACUCUGGUGGAGGUCCGCAGCGGUUCUGACGUGCAAAUCGAUCGUCAGACCUGGCUAUAGGGGCGAAAGACUAAUCGAACCAUCUAGUAGCUGGUUCCCUCCGAAGUUUCCCUCAGGAUAGCUGGCGCUCGGGAGGAAGCAGUCUCAUCCGGUAAAGCGAAUGAUUAGAGGCCUUGGGGCCGAAAAGACCUCAACCUAUUCUCAAACUUUCAAUGGGUGAGAAGUCCGGUUUGCUCGAUUGAAGCCUGGACAUUCUCGGAUGCGAGUGCCCAGUGGGCCACUUUUGGUAAGCAGAACUGGCGCUGUGGGAUGAACCAAACGACGGGUUAAGGGGCCCGAUGCAGGACGCUCAUGAGAACCCAUGAAAGGUGUUGGUUGCUAUAGACAGCAGGACGGUGGCCAUGGAAGUCGGAAUCCGCUAAGGAGUGUGUAACAACUCACCUGCCGAAGCAACUAGCCCUGAAAAUGGAUGGCGCUUCAGCGUCGACCCCAUACCCGUCCGCCGCGGCGGAGAUGCGAUCGCAUUAUGCCGCGGUGAGUAGGAGGGCGCGGGGGCGCGCGUGGAAGGUGCCGGGCGUAAGCCCGCCUGGAGCCGCCCCCGGUGCAGAUCUUGGUGGUAGUAGCAAAUACUCAAGUGAGAACCUUGAGGACUGAGGUGGAGAAGGGUUCCAUGUGAACAGCAGUUGAACAUGGGUCAGUCGGUCCUAAGGGAUGUCCGAAAGGAUUUCCGAAGGGGGCACCUUAUUUCAUGGUCUCCCCCAUGACCGAAAGGGAAUCGGGUUAAUAUUCCCGAACCCGGACACGGAGAUCGGCCCUUUCGGGGGCACGUGCGGUAACGCAAACGACCUCGGAGACGUCGACGGGGGUCCCGGGAAGAGUUGUCUUUUCUUUGUAAGGGUUCGGCUCCCUGGAAUCGGCUCGCCCGGAGAUAGGGAUGCUGAACCCGUAAAGCACCGCGCCUCUUGUGGUGUCCGGAGCGCUCCCGUCGGCCCUUGAAAAUCCGAGCGAGAGUUGGUGAUUUU